UUGACCUCACUCGCACCCCUAGGCGAGUGGUUACACUCUCUUUGUCCUAGUCACCAUAACCUUGCCACAUAGGCAAGGUCAACGGUCAAAGAGUGCGAAAUGUUGCUUUUUGAUGGGUUCAUUGAUCCAGAUGACAAACAUAUAAGUAGAAGUGUCCACCUUACAAAACUGAAAUAGUACAGGGGUCCAAUAGAGCAUUUAUUAUACUUUCUUAUCUCAUCAAAUUUACUUGUGAAAUUAUACUAAAGUUAUUGUUGUUGAAGGUGGCCGAUAGUGUUGUUAUUUCAUGUUUGAAUCAACUUAUACACAUCAUACUUAUUGCUCGUCCUACUUUUAAUAUGGCAUCUAAACUGAUCGUAAGAUCCUGUUGGUCUUUGGUGCUCAGCCUUAACCAACCGACACACUAAGCAUUUAGCCACAUGCUCAACGACAUCCCUCUUAUACCUUUCCACCAACUGUAUGGGACUGAGGUCCAUGUUGUUCUGCUCGGGACCUUGAUGAACAUAUUAAGAGGCUCGAUGUCCUUUUAUUAAUGAGUUUAUGCCGUUCAGAUUGAUUUAGAGAACAACUUUGACGUAUAAUUUUUCAUCCAAAGCAUAAAUAAAUUCUAUAAUAUUUUUUUACUUUUUCUAAAAUUUCUCGCGUUUCUACUACACUUCAUCAAACAAAACAAUUAAAAGUUUUAAACUACAUUCAACAUUCAUACGUGCUAAAUCUUUUUUUUUUUACUUUCUUCUUUUUGGUAGGAAAAAGCUACGUGCUAAAUCAACUUUGCCGACUACUAGGAGUGGUUGCCCAACACAACUUGUCAUUGCUAUUUGCUAAUUCAAUUAAUUGACCUGUUAAACUUAUCUAAAAUAUAACUCCUUAGCAUUUAUUAAUAUUUUUAUUCACUGCUAAAAAAGUUAUAAAAAAACACGUAAGAGACCUCAAAAAUAGGUCAAAAAUAAGAGACCUCAUAAGGUCGCUUAUUACCUUAAUUUUUUUUUUUUAAAAAAUUCUUUUAGAAAAGAGACCUCAUGGGGUCAGUUAAUAAUAAAGAAAAAUACGUAAAAUAAUAAUAGUGAUUUUAUGAGAUCGAAAAUAAAUUCUGAAAUAAGUUAAAGCCUAAAUAUUUAAAAUUAUAUUAAAAAAAAUUAUAAAUAGUCACCUCAUGACGUCUCUUUAUUUUGGUCAAAGUGGUCAAAUUUUUUUUUUAAAUACAAUUUUUUCUUUUAUAUUUAAUAAAAAAAAUACAAACUCCAACACUCAUUUAGUAACACAAUUCAAUUGUCAAGCCUACCUCCCUCCUUCUUUGACAAAAUCCUUUUGCCGAAAUCGCUCAAAUCAGCCAAAUCACCAUUGCAUCGAUCUACCAAGGAGUGCGGAAAAAAAACUCGGGGGGAGGGGGGGCUGAUAACUCAGGCUGAUACAUUCAAGACUAUGCAUAAGAAAGAAGAAAACCUUUGGAGAUGGUCAAUAGAGAGGCGUGGCAGAGGAGCACGACAAUGAUGACGAUGAUCAUGAUCAUGUGGCAAACAUACCAUGGCGUCGUUAAAGUUUAGUGUUGCAGUAGAUAUCUAAAUUAUGUACUUUGUGGUGGUUUAUUUGAAUUAUUAAGUGUUUGAAUCUUUGAACUAGUCUGAAAUAGAAUUGUAUAUAUAACUUACGACUUCUAUGGUUUUCUCACUCAUUUUUGAAGUAUUUUAA